rnacentral:snoRNA from 1 species
AACUGCGCUUAGAUGAAGACACUACAUUAUGUAUUAGUGUUGUGUUCACCAUGUAAGCGCUACAGAAAUGACUGCUCAAAGUGCAGUGUGCAAGUACUUAGUAAUGUAUUCUGCUCAUAGGGUAGCUACAUUUUUU